rnacentral:rRNA from 1 species
GACGAACGCUGGCGGCGUGCCUAAUACAUGCAAGUAGAACGCUGAAGGAGGAGCUUGCUCUUCUGGAUGAGUUGCGAACGGGUGAGUAACGCGUAGGUAACCUGCCUAGUAGCGGGGGAUAACUAUUGGAAACGAUAGCUAAUACCGCAUAACAGUAGAUGUUGCAUGACAUUUACUUAAAAGGUGCAAUUGCAUCACUACCAGAUGGACCUGCGUUGUAUUAGCUAGUUGGUGGGGUAACGGCUCACCAAGGCGACGAUACAUAGCCGACCUGAGAGGGUGAUCGGCCACACUGGGACUGAGACACGGCCCAGACUCCUACGGGAGGCAGCAGUAGGGAAUCUUCGGCAAUGGACGGAAGUCUGACCGAGCAACGCCGCGUGAGUGAAGAAGGUUUUCGGAUCGUAAAGCUCUGUUGUAAGAGAAGAACGAGUGUGAGAGUGGAAAGUUCACACUGUGACGGUAUCUUACCAGAAAGGGACGGCUAACUACGUG